AAAUUUGAAUAAUGUUCCUUCCAUCAUUCUGUGUUUCAAAAGGAUCAUUUUCAAUCUGAGUCAAAAUGAUCGUAAACCCAUUGAUAAAGGAGAGCAUUGGCGGCAAACAUCAGCUCGUUCUCUCGCUCAAUCUGUUCAGCUGCAACUUGCAGAGGUCUUAGUGACUGUCGCAUACGCCGAAUACCCUUUUUUUUCCUUGCCAAUCUCACUCUCAUAGCCCUCGGGCGAUGACCCUAUUUGGACAAGCAAUUUUUAAAACUAUAAAAGUUCAAUUUCAGCUGCAAAGCCGAACAACCUUUUGCCCCCCGUGUGGCCAUCCUCCAUCUCAGCCACCAUUCCAAUCUCUCAAUCCCAAUUUUUCCUUCAAGGCCCUAACAACCCAAAUCCAACCAAAUUUUCCUCCCCAACAAAACCCAAAUAUUUCUUCUUCCAAAACCCCGAUAAUUUCUUUCCCCAAGACCCUAACAUACAACUACAACAGGUACUCAAUAGAACCGACAGCAGCCACAGGCAACCUCAGAACCAGAUAGACACCACCGCCUCUGACCAAGUCCCGAAGGGGGUUCGGGAAAGAACCGACCAGGCCGUGAAGCAGGCCUGAAGCGAGCAUAUUGCGUCCGGAAAGGGUGUUACGGCGUGGAACGUUUCGCAGGCAGCCCUUGUGGCGCUGCAGGCUGAUUUAUGGAGCUCGUUGGGAUUGGAUAUGCAGGGGAUUCCAUCUCUUCAAAAGCUUAUAACCAUUGAAGGAAGGGGAUGUAUCAUGAUUUUUUCACAAAUCGGUGAGUAUUGCUCAUAAAUUACAACCUCUAAAGACUAAUGUCUUGGUUGUUGGUUCAAAGGCGCACCGUUGAUAAUUAUGACCUGUUGAGGCAUUUACCUAAGUGCUAAGUUGCUGCUGGAUUUACUGAAAGCUCCUUUGACCCCUUCAGUUGAGGCACCUUUAUUGAGACACUCUCCUUUAGUGCCUAGGGUGUGCACCUGGAAAGCGAGUAGGCACAAAAAUGCUCAAGUGGUAAGGGUAGGAUGGGUUUUGUAGGAAUCUUAGAUUGAGCCUUAACAGUCUUCAAUGUACCAAAAACGGUAUGCCUCAAUUAAGUGACCCCAUUUUUUUUAAUUGUAUGAGCUGUAUUUUCAAUAUACAUAAAAGGUCUUUGAAUGUGUUUUAACGAGAACAAGGAAAGAUAAUGUUGUCCAUAUGUAACUUCUUCUUGGAGGUAUAAGUGUAGGGACCUUAUAGCUAGAGUUUAAUUUGAUGGUGACUUUUAGUUAAUUAUGAUAAUGCUUUUAGCUUUAUGAUAUAUUAGGGCUAGGAAUUGAGCCAAGUUUCUAAAUGCAUAUACUUCGGGUUUUUCAUCUUUGGUGCCUUGAUGUUGAUACUGCUUGUAUCUAUUGUGAUAUAUUCACUUGGGUGAGUGCCUUGUUUAUGUCUGGUCUUAGUUGGUACAACAGUCCUAGCACCUUCAGUGUGCCAAUGACUGCAUUGACUUUUCAAGUUUGUUUUAUGGAUUCCUAUCUGCUAGCAUCUUUAUUGUGACAAGUUAUUAUGGGAUCUAGGAUAUGAUAAAACUUUCUUUUUCAAUAUUACAGGUGACACCUAUCAGAUAUUGUACAAGUAGAAAGAAUUAAAAGAACAAAUUACAAGGAAGAGAAGGGGUAAGAGCCUGCAAGUUGCAGCUCAACAGAUGGAGCGAGAGAACGAGCUGAUGUUUGCAGCGAAUGACCUCCUUUAUCAAUGGGUUUACGAUAUUGUAUAGAAAAUUAUUCAGAUUUUCUAAGCUUUACCUUGCUUAUAAAAAUCCAAAUUGUGGGA
rnacentral:sRNA from 10 species